CCGAUUAUACCCCAAAACCCAGCAUCAUGCAACUUACUCAUGUAACAAACAUAAACAUGUACCCCCUGAAUUUAAAAUAAAAGUUGACACUAUUAAAAAAAUUUUUAAAAACUUAAAAAAUUUCUGAACAAAUAAAUUCAAUGAUUUUGAGAAAGUUGACAAAAACAAGAAUCAUCCUUGACCAACUAUUUUUAAAGCUAGAUGAAAUUUAGUUGACCUUUCCUCCUAACCUUAAACAAAAUGAUGCCUUCUUUCCUUAUAUUAGAAAAUUCUUUUAGAGCCUUUUUAUGGCUGAUGUUUUUGAACAUAGGUCUAUGUUAAUGAUGCAUUGGUUGAUUUUAUAUCCUGUGCUUAUCUAAACACAGUGGAAGCCACAGAAGUAAUUCCAUGAUGAGUGCCAUAGGCUGGAUAAUGGCCCCCAAGGAUAAGGAGGUCCUGAUCCUGGGAACCUGUGAAUGGCAAAAAUGAUUUUGCAUAUGUGGAAAGAUAAAGGAUUUUGAGAUGGGGCAGUUAUGUCGGGUUAUCAGUAUGGGCCCAAAUAUAAUAACAGGAGUCCUUAUGAGAAAGAGGCAGAGAGGGAAUUUACACUGAAGAUAAGAAGACAAUGUGACCAUAGAAGCAAUGGCAAUAUCUCUCAAAACAUCCUUUCCUAGCCGUGACCACUGCCAACUCUUAUGUUGGCAGCUUCUAAUUAGUGCUCUUGAGUCACUGUGAUUAUUUUUCCCUUGUGACCCUAUGAUCAGACCCUUCUCUGUUCAGUCUCUCCUGCCAACAGCUGCUAGAUCACUCUUCAGAAGAUGUUGCCUGCAUCACACAAGUCCCUGCUGAAAUCCACAGUGGCUCCCCACUGCCAAAGACUGGAGUGAUGCAAUCACAAGCCAAGAAAUGCUGGCAGCCACCAAAAACUGGAAAAGCAGCUAUCAGCAGUGACCCUGAGUGAGGCUUUUAAGGAGGAGCAGAGACCAGCUGACCACCAUGGACAGCAACUGGUGCCUACCACACUCUGGCGUCCCUCCCGUGGGCUGUGAGCUGGAGUGUACAACACAGGAUCACAGCCUACACUUCAGCAACUGAAACAGAAGAGCGCGUUUCCUGUUGUAUUUGCAUAAUGGAGAUGACAUAAUAAUGACAAAUUAUGCUAUGGGAGAUGUUGCACAAUGUAACGGCAUUCAUAAGACCAAACAUACUGUGUAAAAUGAAACUUUCCAUAAAGUAGGUUCACAUAUGGGCAAUUAGCUUCCUUCCAGUGUCAUGAAGGUUUCUUUAGGAUCAAGGGGCUAAUGCAGAUCAUAAUUUUGACAGGCAGGACAGCAUCCUAUGGAGUCAGA
rnacentral:lncRNA from 10 species